AAUCAACGCUGGCGGCGUGCCUCAGACAUGCAAGUCGAACGAUUAAGACUCCCUUCGGGGAGUGCAUAAAGUGGCGCACGGGUGAGUAACACGUAAGUAAUCUACCCUCGGGGUGGGGAAUAACGUCCGGAAACGGACGCUAAUACCGCAUAAUGCAGCGGCACCGCAAGGUGACAGUUGUUAAAGAUUUAUUGCCUGGGGGAGGAGCUUGCGGCAGAUUAGCUUGUUGGUAAGGAACGGCUUACCAAGGCUACGAUCUGUAUCCGGUCUAAGAGGACGGUCGGACACACUGACACUGAAUAACGGGUCAGACUCCUACGGGAGGCAGCAGUCGGGAAUUUUGGGCAA
rnacentral:rRNA from 1 species